rnacentral:rRNA from 1 species
AGAGUUUGAUCCUGGCUCAGAGCGAACGUUAGCGGCGCGCCUAACACAUGCAAGUCGCACGAGAAAGGGGGCAACCCCCGGUACAGUGGCGCACGGGUGAGUAACACGUAGAUGACCUUCCCUGGAGUGGUGGAUAACCUGCCGAAAGGCGGGCUAAUACAGCAUGGGACCACAUGGUUUUGGCCGAGUGGUGAAAGCGGGCCUCUGUUCACAAGCUCGCGCUCUGGGAUGGAUCUGCGGCCCAUCAGCUAGUUGGUGAGGUAACGGCUCACCAAGGCUACGACGGGUAGCUGGUCUGAGAGGAUGAUCAGCCACACUGGAACUGAGACACGGUCCAGACUCCUACGGGAGGCAGCAGUGGGGAAUCUUGCGCAAUGGGCGAAAGCCUGACGCAGCGACGCCGCGUGGGUGACGAAGGCCUUCGGGUUGUAAAGCCCUGUGGGGAGGAACGAACCGUCCGGGGGCUAAUACCCUCCGGGCCUGACGGUACCUCUUUAGCAAGCAUCGGCUAACUCUGUGCCAGCAGCCGCGGUAAGACAGAGGAUGCGAACGUUGCUCGGAAUUACUGGGCGUAAAGCGCGCGUAGGUGGCCCCGUAAGUCUCGUGUGAAAGCCCUCUGCUCAACGGAGGAAGUGCACGGGAUACUGCGAGGCUGGAGUACAGAAGAGGACAGCGGAAUUCCCGGUGUAGAGGUGAAAUUCGUAGAUAUCGGGAGGAACACCAGUGGCGAAGGCGGCUGUCUGGGCUGAUACUGACACUGAGGCGCGAAAGCGUGGGAAGCAAACAGGAUUAGAUACCCUGGUAGUCCACGCUGUAAACGAUGACGACUGGGUGUUGCGGGUAUUGACCCCCGCGGUGCCGAAGCCCACGCGUUAAGUCGUCCGCCUGGGAAGUACGGCCGCAAGGCUAAACUCAAAUGAAUUGACGG